rnacentral:lncRNA from 1 species
GCUGUGCUGGCACUGCUGUGCCAGUCCAGAGCCAGCUCAAGCCCUCCAACGCGGUUGCCUGGUAACCAGCCCUAAGUGACGGAAACCCCAGCGGGCUGCUAAUGAGGGGCAGUGGAGCCAGCCACCUGGCCAGACCCUGGGCUGCUGCCCAGCCCACCCUACCUAGGCUUCAGUGACAGUGUCACCAGCCUGCCCACGCCCAGAGGCCCACUGCCCGGGCAGCCCAGGCCCUUGCAGUCCCGAGGAGAAGCCGAACUGGAAACCAAGGCACUUUAGCACAAGGAGCAAGGGUGAGACUGGAGUCCAGGAUGAAAGGAACAGCAAGCCCCAGAUGAAUGGCAUGUGACCUUGGGAGGUGCUCCUGAAUUAAGAUCCAGAGGAGUUACAGAACCCGAGGUGGCUUGUCCUGGCCAGGCUGGGUCCCACUUGGCUUGGAGAGAUGGGUAAGGGCCACCAGGCACACCUGCACACACACAAUCUGAGAGUCCCAGGCCCCAAGACUGAGGACACUGCCCUCUUCCCCUCCCCGCCCCAACACCAGCAGGGCAGGGGUGGGCACGCCUAGCCUAGCCGGAAGGGCUCAGACUGGAGCUAAGGCUGUCAGCAUAGGGCAUCCCCAAGCUGUCUGUGCAUGGAUACACUUGCCUCACACCAAAGUGUGGCUGCAGGAAGAGCCCCCCUCCCCCGGGCUGGGUGCCAAGCAGUCUAAGAUUUUGUCCCAGCCUGCAAGUGACCUGGGGAGAGAGAGCCCCAACUCUCCCAGUCGCCUCUCAGAUGUUUCCAGCUCCACACUCUCCCCUCUCCGGAGUGACCUCACUUCCUCUUCCCAGUCCCACCUGAGCCCAGCCCCUCCUCCCACUGCUCCGCUCUGAGUCAGGCAGUCUGACCUUCGUUUCAGAGGAGGUGGCCCAGCCAAUCCUGGCCCCUGAACUUGCCCUGACCUUUGCCAUGUCCACCUGCCCUCCCUCUCUCCCUCACCAUAGGCAUCUGUCCCCAGACCUUGGGCAGCCCCAGGACUAUGGGGACGAGAGAAAGGAGAGCACUGGGGGAGGAGUACUCGUUCACAAUCAAGGGACCAGAGUCCCCCAGGCAGGCAGCCUGCUCCUGCACCCCUCUUUUUUUGAAGCAAAAUAUUUAUUGGUACAUUUUAGAUAUACAUAAUGAUAACACUCAUCAUAGGGAAUUUGUACUGUACAUGAAACACCUUGCUUCUUUUUUCCCAUCCGCCCUUCGACCUCUCUUCCCUUCUUUAUUUACAAAAGCCUUUUUUUCCAUUUUUCCUUCUAUUCUUUUUUUUCUCUCGUCCUUUCUUUCCUCUCCCACUCCCCUCUCCCUUGUUCCCCCCUCUCGUUUGAACAUUUUCUUCCCAUUUCCCAAUAUCUAUUAUAAAUUUUGUUCCUUAUUUACACUUCUGGUUUCUCACACCAGAAAAACAAUGCAGUAUUUAAACAUGUGUGUCUGAUUUAUUUCACUUGAGUGUGGUCUCAAGCCCUGCACCCUUCUCCUUGCAAGCACCAUUCUUGGCUGGGGACCUAUCCAGUCUCCCGGGAUACACGGGCAGGAGCUUUUUCUCCUCGCAGGAAAAGUCCAGCAACACCCACCCAGGACACUCAGCAACCCCUCCCCGGAACCCUCCUUCCUGGCCCGAUCCUGGGAUGGGAAGAGCACCUUCCUCAGACAGCGAUAGAGCCCCAAAGAGGGCUGACAUACCCACGUCUGCAAUGCACCCUGCUAGCCUCUCUCCAGCCCCCUAAUACAAGCAGUCCUAGCCAAGACUGCCAGGAACCUAUUAUGUGCCAGGUGUUUAAGACCAUCUUUGGCAAGGGUGGCAACUACACACCACACAAGGUCACAGAGUUACAAAAUGACAAUGGACGCGCAAUCUAGCGCGAGGACCAGGCG